AAAGUUCAAAACUUUACCUUACAAAAUAAAUUAUUCAUACAAAUGCAAUGCACAAACUAAUUUGUCAAUUUUGAAUUAACACCCAUACAAAUAUCCAGUUGGUUUGUUUGCAGCAUCAAUCAUCGCCAUUCUACAAUCCCAUAUCAUUGAGGAAAUUCCGGCGGCUCGAUUCAACGGCCGUCAAUCAUCUCUCUCUCUCUCUCUCUCUGGUAUUCGAUUUUGAUUCUUUAAACCUUUCCAAAACCCUAAGAUGUCGUCCGGGCGCAAAUUUCUUUAGACAAUGAAGCGAGUGUGGAAAAUCUCAGAUGCCACCCACGCAGAAAACUUUCUCCGUAGAUGCUCUGCAAAACCCAGAACCCUUACGACCCCAUUACUUACCCUAACAAGGGCCUCAACUAGCAAUUUUUUCCGACAAAACUAUGCUCACAACCGCUGCUUAUGCUCCAUCAGGUUCCCGGACAUAAUUGGCUUGUUCGUCGAUAAGCCUCUCUUGUUGGACGGUCGAACCAAGGAAGCUCUGAGCAAGGAUGUGUCACGGUUGAGAGAUGAGUUGAUACAAAACAUUGAAGACUAUGACAAGGUUGUAGGAAUCUUGGAGGAGAAAGGUGAUCCGUUGUUCAAGAUUUAUGCGGAUGGGUCUGCUUUGGUUGAGCUGCUGGGGCAGUUGUUUCGUUCAUGGCCUUACUUAGCUCUCGAGGUUUUAAAUUGGAGAAGGAAACAGGCAGAUAGUGGCAUUCCUAUGUCAUCAGAGGAGUAUGCCAAGUGUAUUUCAGUUGCCGGUAGAAUUAAGAAUGUUGACCUUGCAGUUGAGUUGUUUACAGAGGCUACUAACAUGCGCAUUAAGACGGCUUCAACUUAUAACGCUCUGAUGGGUGCUUAUAUGUGCAAUGGUUUUUCUGAGAAAUGCCAGUCACUGUUUCGGGAUUUCAAGAGGGAAGCAAGUUGUAGUCCUACAAUUGUAACAUACAACAUUCUUAUUUCUGUCUUUGGUCGCUUGAUGCUGGUAGAUCAUAUGGAGGCAACUUUUCGGGAGAUAAAAGAUUUAAAUCUUUCUCCUAAUUUGAGUACAUACAAUAAUUUAAUUGCAGGAUAUGUUACAGCUUGGAUGUGGGAUAAUAUGGAAAAAACUUUUAGUACGAUGAAGGAAGGAUCUGUCAUGCCUGAUAUUAACACCUACUUGCUAAUGCUUCGAGGUUAUGUGCAUUCGGGAAAUUUGGAAAAGAUGGAAGGGGUGUAUGAUCUAGUAAAACAUCAUGUAAAUGACAAUGGAAUUCCAUUGAUCAGAUCCAUGAUUUGUGCAUAUUGUAAGAGUUCCAGUGCUGAUAGGGUUAAAAAAAUUGAGGAACUGUUGAGACUUAUUCCAGAAAAGGAGUAUAAGCCUUGGUUGAAUGUGCUAUUGAUUAGGGUUUAUGCACAGGAGGAUCUGGUGGAGGGGAUGGAGAAUUUAAUAAAUGAGGCGUUUGAACGUAAGACUUCUGUAACAACUGUGGGUGUGAUGCGUUCCAUUGUUGCUAGUUAUUUCCGGUGCAAAGCUGUGGAUAAGCUUGAAAACUUUGUGAAGCGUGCAGAGUGUGCUGGAUGGAGGAUUUGUCGGUCCCUAUAUCACUGUAAGAUGGUCAUGUAUGCAUUUGAAAAGCGCUUGGGGAAAAUGGAGGGGGUCCUUAAUGAGUUGGCGAAUGUUAACUUGGGUUGCACCAAAAAAACAUUUGCUAUAAUGUGUAUGGCCUACUCAAUGUGUGGUCAGAGACAUAAAGUUAAGCAAGUACUAGGCUUGAUGUGCAAGCAUGGGUAUGAAAUUCCUUUGCAUGCAUUCCCUUCAUAAUGCAUCCUUCCAAGCGGCAACAUAUUGUUCAAUGAAAGUGGUCAAAGUGGCAUUCUGCCAAUGAUAAGUGAAGUCCAUCAGAUGAAUAACAAAUUACGAUAUCAUGCAAAGAAAUUGCUGUACAUUUUGAUGGACCAUGGCCACUGAAUUGCUGAAUGCCUGCACAGAUUGAAAUAAAAACCUUACCAAGAUCUUGAAGGAUUUCAAGUUUUGCUGCAUGAAAUCCCAGUUUCAGUUGUAUGGCUACAAAAUUUUGGAGAACAAGGGCAUGGAGAAUAGUUGCUUGAGAUUUCAGUAUAAUAAUAUUGGGGCAUAUGGCCAUGCAAGAGCUGUAUGUUAUUGUAGGCCAUCUCUUGGAAACCGAGUCUUUUCUGGGUGGCCUAGGGUUCUCAGGCUGAUGAGGUUUAUCAAUUCUAAGAUGCAAUUAUUUGCACAUAGAUUCCCUUGCCUUGAUUCCUGGAGCUCUUUUGUGUUGUAAAUUAUUCUAGACAGUGAGCUAGUUCCUCUGCGACCAAUUCAUAUUUUUAUUUUUUUUAAUGCUCUUUUUGCAGCGGCAGUCUCUUACCAAUUUUAGAGGAAGUCUAAUCCCAUGUCUCUAGCAUCUUUGUAACAUGAUUUCUUGAGACUUGAAGAUUUUAUUUUAAAGGUAUACAGUGUUAAUUCAAAGUUCUGGAUUCUUCA